GAACAACGAUAUUGUACAUAAUAAUAUUUUAACAUUAAAUCGAAUGAUAUUUUUAACUUUAAAAUGCCCUAAGCAUUAUCGACAAAAUGCAAUACCAGCGGAUUCGUCACAGGAUUCGUCGAUCUCCUAGGCUGCUCACUUUUAUUAUAUGGCCAAAUAUGCAUUCUAUAGUAUAUAGUUCAGUGGGUCUAACCUAACCGACAUACAGCCAUUUGGGAAUGGGAACUGCAGCGUAUAUUAGUUCGUUUACUUUAGCCAAAAGUUUAUUAUCUUUAUUUCAUAGUAUU